rnacentral:tRNA from 1 species
UGGCUCAGUGGUAGAGUGCUUGCCUUGCAUGCAUGAGGCCUGGGUUCAAUUCCUCAG